rnacentral:rRNA from 1 species
ACGCACGCUGGCGGCGUGCUUAACACCUGCAAGUCGCACGGAAAGGCCCUGCUUUUGUGGGGUGCUCGAGUGGCGAACGGGUGAGUAACACGUGAGUAACCUGCCCCUGACUUUGGGAUAACUUCAGGAAACUGGGGCUAAUACCGGAUAGGAGCUCCUGCUGCAUGGUGGGGGUUGGAAAGUUUCGGCGGUUGGGGAUGGACUCGCGGCUUAUCAGCUUGUUGGUGGGGUAGUGGCUUACCAAGGCUUUGACGGGUAGCCGGCCUGAGAGGGUGACCGGCCACAUUGGGACUGAGAUACGGCCCAGACUCCUACGGGAGGCAGCAGUGGGGAAUAUUGCACAAUGGGCGGAAGCCUGAUGCAGCAACGCCGCGUGCGGGAUGACGGCCUUCGGGUUGUAAACCGCUUUCGCCUGUGACGAAGCGUGAGUGACGGUAAUGGGUAAAGAAGCACCGGCUAACUACGUG